GAGGUUAAGCGACUAAGCGUACACGGUGGAUGCCCUGGCAGUCAGAGGCGAUGAAGGGCGUGCUAAUCUGCGAUAAGCGCCGGUAAGGUGAUAUGAACCGUUAUAACCGGCGAUACCCGAAUGGGGAAACCCAGUGUGACUCGUCACACUAUCAUUAACUGAAUCCAUAGGUUAAUGAGGCGAACCGGGGGAACUGAAACAUCUAAGUACCCCGAGGAAAAGAAAUCAACCGAGAUUCCCCCAGUAGCGGCGAGCGAACGGGGAGGAGCCCAGAGCCUGAAUCAGCAUGUGUGUUAGUGGAAGCGUCUGGAAAGGCGCGCGAUACAGGGUGACAGCCCCGUACACAAAAGCGCAUGUGCUGUGAGCUCGAUGAGUAGGGCGGGACACGUGGUAUCCUGUCUGAAUAUGGGGGGACCAUCCUCCAAGGCUAAAUACUCCUGACUGACCGAUAGUGAACCAGUACCGUGAGGGAAAGGCGAAAAGAACCCCGGCGAGGGGAGUGAAAAAGAACCUGAAACCGUGUACGUACAAGCAGUGGGAGCACCCUUUGGGUGUGACUGCGUACCUUUUGUAUAAUGGGUCAGCGACUUAUAUUCUGUAGCAAGGUUAACCGAAUAGGGGAGCCGGAGGGAAACCGAGUCUUAAUUGGGCGUUAAGUUGCAGGGUAUAGACCCGAAACCCGGUGAUCUAGCCAUGGGCAGGUUGAAGGUUGGGUAACACUAACUGGAGGACCGAACCGACUAAUGUUGAAAAAUUAGCGGAUGACCUGUGGCUGGGGGUGAAAGGCCAAUCAAACCGGGAGAUAGCUGGUUCUCCCCGAAAGCUAUUUAGGUAGCGCCUCGUGAAUUCAUCUCCGGGGGUAGAGCACUGUUUCGGCUAGGGGGCCAUCCCGGCUUACCAACCCGAUGCAAACUGCGAAUACCGGAGAAUGUUAUCACGGGAGACACACGGCGGGUGCUAACGUCCGUCGUGAAGAGGGAAACAACCCAGACCGCCAGCUAAGGUCCCAAAGUCAUGGUUAAGUGGGAAACGAUGUGGGAAGGCCCAGACAGCCAGGAUGUUGGCUUAGAAGCAGCCAUCAUUUAAAGAAAGCGUAAUAGCUCACUGGUCGAGUCGGCCUGCGCGGAAGAUGUAACGGGGCUAAACCAUGCACCGAAGCUGCGGCAGCGACACUGUGUGUUGUUGGGUAGGGGAGCGUUCUGUAAGCCUGUGAAGGUGUGUCGUGAGGCAUGCUGGAGGUAUCAGAAGUGCGAAUGCUGACAUAAGUAACGAUAAAGCGGGUGAAAAGCCCGCUCGCCGGAAGACCAAGGGUUCCUGUCCAACGUUAAUCGGGGCAGGGUGAGUCGACCCCUAAGGCGAGGCCGAAAGGCGUAGUCGAUGGGAAACGGGUUAAUAUUCCCGUACUUGGUGUUACUGCGAAGGGGGGACGGAGAAGGCUAUGUUGGCCGGGCGACGGUUGUCCCGGUUUAAGCGUGUAGGUGUGUGUUCCAGGUAAAUCCGGUUCACUUUAACACUGAGGCGUGACGACGAGGCACUACGGUGCUGAAGCAACAAAUGCCCUGCUUCCAGGAAAAGCCUCUAAGCAUCAGGUAACAUCAAAUCGUACCCCAAACCGACACAGGUGGUCAGGUAGAGAAUACCAAGGCGCUUGAGAGAACUCGGGUGAAGGAACUAGGCAAAAUGGUGCCGUAACUUCGGGAGAAGGCACGCUGACACGUAGGUGAAGUGAUUUACUCAUGGAGCUGAAGUCAGUCGAAGAUACCAGCUGGCUGCAACUGUUUAUUAAAAACACAGCACUGUGCAAACACGAAAGUGGACGUAUACGGUGUGACGCCUGCCCGGUGCCGGAAGGUUAAUUGAUGGGGUCAGCGCAAGCGAAGCUCCUGAUCGAAGCCCCGGUAAACGGCGGCCGUAACUAUAACGGUCCUAAGGUAGCGAAAUUCCUUGUCGGGUAAGUUCCGACCUGCACGAAUGGCGUAAUGAUGGCCAGGCUGUCUCCACCCGAGACUCAGUGAAAUUGAACUCGCUGUGAAGAUGCAGUGUACCCGCGGCAAGACGGAAAGACCCCGUGAACCUUUACUAUAGCUUGACACUGAACAUUGAGCCUUGAUGUGUAGGAUAGGUGGGAGGCUUUGAAGUGUGGACGCCAGUCUGCAUGGAGCCGACCUUGAAAUACCACCCUUUAAUGUUUGAUGUUCUAACGUGGACCCGUUACCCGGGUUGCGGACAGUGUCUGGUGGGUAGUUUGACUGGGGCGGUCUCCUCCUAAAGAGUAACGGAGGAGCACGAAGGUUGGCUAAUCCUGGUCGGACAUCAGGAGGUUAGUGCAAUGGCAUAAGCCAGCUUGACUGCGAGCGUGACGGCGCGAGCAGGUGCGAAAGCAGGUCAUAGUGAUCCGGUGGUUCUGAAUGGAAGGGCCAUCGCUCAACGGAUAAAAGGUACUCCGGGGAUAACAGGCUGAUACCGCCCAAGAGUUCAUAUCGACGGCGGUGUUUGGCACCUCGAUGUCGGCUCAUCACAUCCUGGGGCUGAAGUAGGUCCCAAGGGUAUGGCUGUUCGCCAUUUAAAGUGGUACGCGAGCUGGGUUUAGAACGUCGUGAGACAGUUCGGUCCCUAUCUGCCGUGGGCGCUGGAGAACUGAGGGGGGCUGCUCCUAGUACGAGAGGACCGGAGUGGACGCAUCACUGGUGUUCGGGUUGUCAUGCCAAUGGCACUGCCCGGUAGCUAAAUGCGGAAGAGAUAAGUGCUGAAAGCAUCUAAGCACGAAACUUGCCCCGA
rnacentral:rRNA from 1 species